AUUUAUGCCAAGUCCUGAAGUUCCUCCAAAGCAUUUUUUUUUUUCUAAAUAGAGUUUGGAAAUCUCUUCAUUAAUGUUCCCAGUUGCUAAGCAACACCCCCUCUUUGCUUGUUGCCAUGGUUGCCCUUGAAUUAGGGAGGACACAAAGCCAUCUGUUUAAACCAAGACCCCUCCUCUCUCUAGAAUACGAACUGUUCUGUUCAUCCAGAGGCAAGAUACAAAAUAACUCCCCGACUGCUCAGCUGCAAUGCAUGUCAAUGUGGAAACAAGACCAAAAGUGCCCUUCUUCAUCUUUGGAAACAUUUCACUGUCGCAUCCUCUUUUUCAGACUGCGCU
rnacentral:lncRNA from 1 species